ACUUAGAUCUCUACUACAUAGCCUAGGGCACAUCCUUAUCCCUAUCUAUCUUUUUUGAACAGGGAUGUGGCAACGGUGAAGGUCCUUGAAGAUCAAAGCACUUGGACCCAUACUACCCUCGUAUGCUCCCUUCAAUCACCAUCUUUUCGGCUACUUUAAUGCCAGUUGCAUGCCCACGCACACAUCUACCACUUGCCAUCUGACUUGUCAACCUUUCCAUUUGCUAAUAAACCCUUUGGCAGACCCGGAUGAGACGAGGAAAAGGGCCAAACAAGAUUGAAAUGAGGAUGGUAAUUCUCAGAGGCUCUUGCGCAUUCAUGGCCUCAAUCUCUUCCAAGAAGACAAUAAUGAACUCUAGAAUCACCAUUAUAGGAAGGGAUAAAUAUCUCAAACUUGUGUGAAUGGAUACUUAUGUGAAAAUAUCAUGAGUUCAUGGUCUAAAAUUCCGCUGAAAGUACACUGAUAAUCCUCAGGAUUCCAUCGUUGUAAGAGAAAGAAAUGAGAGAAAGGAAACUAGGAUAGUCCAAGGAGCUUCAAAGAAUGUCUUGGUAAGCAUUCAUGAUGUCAUAAGGUAAUGACUUAAUGCACUACAAAAUACAAACAGAGGCAUGGAGAGUGCUCAAAGGAAGGUAGGUGCUUGAAAUUCUAUAGUGGGAUGAGAAAGGGAUAAGAUGAAAGGAGUUAAGGAGCUUGGACAAAUUUUAUUUUAUUAGGAGGAUAUUUAUUUUUGGGAGUUGAUAUGGGAAACUGAUGUUAUUAAAACUAUUUUAAUUAGGCAUUUGAGUUGAUAAGGUGAAGAUUUAUGUUCAACAAUGGGUUAAGUGUUGUCAAACCUUUUUUAUAUUUUGAAAAAACUUAAAUUUUCAGUUUAAAUCAAGGUAUGUCUCUCUAUACCGGGCUCCAAACCGGUGCCACCCGAUCACUAUGUUGGUACGCUCGGUAUGUGGCCAAUUCGGCAUACUGAAUGUUGGUACGCCUUUCGUACCAUGUACCGGUACCAAACCAGCAUGGUACGUACGCUCCGUACCAUCCGGUAUGGUGUGAUAUACCCCAUACCAUUCGGUUCAGUAUGGCAUGCCUCGUACCGCUCAGUUCGGUACCAUAUGGCAUACUAUGGUUUGAUCAAUGAAUUCGCAAAUUUUGUUAAAUUUACAUAAAAAAUUGAUCUAAUGCUUUUUCUUGUACUUCAUAAUAGUAUCAGGAAAAGCCCUUAUGCAAUUUAAGAAAAAAAGGAAUUU
rnacentral:lncRNA from 1 species